rnacentral:miRNA from 1 species
UCAGUGCAUUACAGAACUUUAU